UCUCUCACUCACUCUCUGGUGUCUCUCUCUCUCUCUCUCACUCUCUUCUCUCUCUCUCUCUCUCUCAACCCUCUCUGAACCCUAAUCUCUCUCAACCGAUCGAAUCAGCCUUCUUCAGCCCCGUUUGAUCUAAUCUCAGAGCGAUUGGUGAUUCAUCUCAGAUCCAAUCUCAGAGCGAUUGGAAAUUUCGAUUUUGAGAUUUCGAAGCUCCACCGCCUCCACCAUCUGCACCGACGAGAGGAGUGAGCACCAUUGUCUACUAAGAAAGAUCGUCAGGCCAUUAAUAUCCUUCUAGUAGAGAUUGAUAUAUAAGAGCUUUUUGCUUUCAAAUAUUGCAAGGGAAAGAAGGUUAAGCUUGCUCUUUGUGAAGAAAAAUGUUCAAGAACUUCAUAAGGCUUCUACUGAUGAGGGUCCAAAAUCUAUAAAAGAUGAUGCAAUUUUUCAUACUUUUGGUCCCGAGCGUC